CGGUCUUCAAUCCAUCAAAGGUUUACAGGUUGUUUGAUCAACGUUUCGACCCGUUUGGGUCUUCCUCAGGAUCAACUUAUAACCAUAAAAUCAAGAUAUAUAUAGAAAAAGAUAGACAGUACUCUCCAAUUGUGAUGUGAUUCCCUCAUCCAUUCAGUCCAAACCCAGGAAGUGAAAGCCAGAAGUCACGUGACAUACAGG